rnacentral:rRNA from 1 species
UACGUAGGGUGCGAGCGUUAAUCGGAAUUACUGGGCGUAAAGCGUGCGCAGGCGGCUUCGCAAGUCAGACGUGAAAUCCCCGGGCUUAACCUGGGAAUGGCGUUUGAAACUACGGAGCUGGAGUGUGGCAGAGGGAGGUAGAAUUCCACGUGUAGCGGUGAAAUGCGUAGAUAUGUGGAGGAAUACCGAUGGCGAAGGCAGCUCGCUGGGACGUGACUGACGCUGAGACGCGAAAGCGUGGGGAGCAAACAGG